rnacentral:rRNA from 1 species
CCUACGGGGGGCAGCAGUGAGGAAUAUUGGUCAAUGGUCGGAAGACUGAACCAGCCAAGCCGCGUGAGGGAUGAAGGUACAGAGUAUCGUAAACCUCUUUUGUCAGGGAACAAAGGCGGGGACGUGUCCCCGGAUGAGUGUACCUGAUGAAAAAGCAUCGGCUAACUCCGUGCCAGCAGCCGCGGUAAUACGGAGGAUGCGAGCGUUAUCCGGAUUUAUUGGGUUUAAAGGGUGCGCAGGCGGUCUGUUAAGUCAGCGGUAAAAGCCCGGGGCUCAACCCCGGCCCGCCGUUGAAACUGGCAGUCUCGAGUUGGAGAGAAGUAUGCGGAAUGCGCGGUGUAGCGGUGAAAUGCAUAGAUAUCGCGAAGAACUCCGAUUGCGAAGGCAGCAUGCCGGCUCCACACUGACGCUGAGGCACGAAAGCGUGGGUAUCGAACAGGAUUAGAUACCCGAGUAGUC